UACAGAGGUUGCGAGCGUUAAUCGGAUUUACUGGGCGUAAAGCGUGUGUAGGUGGUUGUUCAAGUCGGUUGUGAAAUCCCUGGGCUCAACCUGGGAACUGCAUUUGUGACUGCAUGGCUAGAGUUUGGCAGAGGGGGGUAGAAUUCCACGUGUAGCAGUGAAAUGCGUAGAUAUCCGGAGGAACACCAGUGGCGAAAGCGGCCACCUGGACUGCACCUGACGCUGACACGCGAAAGCUAGGGGAGCGAACGGG
rnacentral:rRNA from 1 species